CCUACGGGGGGCAGCAGCGGGGAAUAUUGGACAAUGGGGGCAACCCUGAUCCAGCCAUGCCGCGUGUGUGAAGAAGGCCCUCGGGUUGUAAAGCACUUUCAGUGAGGAAGAACGCCUGGUGGUUAAUACCCAUCAGGAAAGACAUCACUCACAGAAGAAGCACCGGCUAACUCCGUGCCAGCAGCCGCGGUAAUACGGAGGGUGCGAGCGUUAAUCGGAAUUACUGGGCGUAAAGCGCGCGUAGGUGGCUUGAUAAGCCGGUUGUGAAAGCCCCGGGCUCAACCUGGGAACGGCAUCCGGAACUGUCAAUCUAGAGUGCAGGCGAGGAAAGUAGCAGUGCCGGUGGUGCGGGGGAAGGAGUAGGGAGCGGGAGGGAUAAUAAAGUGGGUGGCGGCCCGCUAGACUGACUGACCAACUGAGGUGCAAGAGCAUGGGUAGAACCCAGGCUUAGAAAUCCGUGGAGGA
rnacentral:rRNA from 1 species